UUUGGUGGCGAUAGCGAAGAGGUCACACCCGUUCCCAUGCCGAACACGGAAGUUAAGCUCUUCAGCUCGGCCUGCUUGCCUUCCGUCCGCUCCACAUAAG
rnacentral:rRNA from 1 species